rnacentral:rRNA from 1 species
CCUACGGGUGGCAGCAGUGAGGAAUAUUGGUCAAUGGGCGGAAGCCUGAACCAGCCAAGUCGCGUGAGGGAAUAAGGCCCUACGGGUCGUAAACCUCUUUUGCCGGGGAGCAAGGUCGAGGACGUGUCCCGCCCCGGAGAGUACCCGCAUAAUAAGCAUCGGCUAACUCCGUGCCAGCAGCCGCGGUAAUACGGGGGAUGCGAGCGUUAUCCGUAUUGAUUGGGUUUAAAGGAUGCGUAGGCGGGCAUUUAAGUCAGCGGGAAAAUGUCGGGGCUAAACCGAGAGCGGCCGUUGAAACUGGGGGACUAGAGUGGGCGAGAGGAAAGCGGAAUGCGGGGUGUAGCGGUGAAAUGCGUAGAUA